GAUUACGGUUUGCGCAUGGUCUUGGAUGCACACUGCGUAGGGACGACAUAUUUGACUGUGCAACUGUAUGUCGAACUCAUUCCUCAGAUGGGUGUUGCCGCACAUGGGCAGCCGGGAACGUCUAUUGAGGACGUGGUUGAAGCGGAGGAAGAAGAUGCAGAUGUUGGUGGGAUGCCUGUUGUGGAUAUGAACGAAUGUCUACGAUCGUCAUUCGAGGUGCAGACGUAUGAAGGAACUACUAUUCAUACGAAUUAUCAUGGUGUUUGCGAAGAUGUUUCAGCAGAACAACCAGGAUCGUUAUUCGCAAUAGCGAACAACGCGCUGGACGUGGGGAUGAACAUCACGAACGAUGUUCAUUUACAAGAUGACACGUACGAGGAGGAAAUUGGUGAAGGGACGAACGAGUUCCCCGAUGAUGUCGACCCACCCCCUCGUCAAUCGAACAAUGGCAUGUAUACGGCAGAUUUCAUGGACGAACCUCCUAUGUAUGGUGUAAUUGACGUAGAUGCUGCAGAUUUGUCCCAUGGUGACGAGCUUCCUAUACGGGUAACUCGUUGGGAUGAAUCAUCAGAACUGAGUCAAGGGAUGCUAUUCGGGUCGAAAGAUCAAUUGAUAGCUGCUGUGCGAAUAUACCACGCUCAAACGCACCAUGACUUUCACGUCCUGCAGUCGACCCCACUAUUAUGAGUUGUUAGGUGUAAGAACUCUGAAUGCAGUUGGAGACUGCGUGCGAUGUAUCGUCAGAAACAUCGAUUCUUCGAAAUCACUCAAUAUGGGGUCCGCACACAUGCUUGAAUGAACUCCUCUCGCAAGACCAUAGCCAAAUCACGUCGUCCCUUAUUGCUAGGGAGAUUGUGAAUAUGAUAAGGGGUGAUGCGUCGACCUCAAUCGCUACAUUGAAAGAAUUCAUAGAUCGUCGUUUCGGCUAUUCCAUCUCAUAUAAGAAAAUUUGGUUUGGAAAACAGAAGGCAAUUGCCAUAGUAUUCGGCGAUUGGAGAAGUCUUAUCAGACGUUGCCUAGGUGGAUGGAAGCAAUGUGCACUUAUAAUCCUGGUAUUAUCGUCAAGUGGAGGUGGAACCCUAUACCAGGCAGCGAUCAGACCGUAACAUUUGUAUCAGUCUUUUGGGCGUUCGUAGCAUCUAUUCAGGGUUUUCCCCACUGUCCUCCUGUAAUAUGUAUAGAUGGGACACACUUGUACGGUAAGUACAAAGGAAAACUCCUUAUUGCGACGUGCCCGGAUGCAAAUAGGCAAAUAUUUUUCCUUGCAUUCGCUAUUGUGCCAGAGGAAAGUUUGGACACAUGGAAUUGGUUUCUGUGUUGUCUUCGUUCCAUUACCGAUAGGGACGACAUUUGCCUUAUAUCAGAUAGGCAUCCAGGGAUCAUCGCUGCAGUGUCUCACAAUCCUGAUUGGCAGCCACCGCGUGCGCUCCACCGAUUCUGCCUUCGACACGUUGUAAGCAACUUCAGCACGAAAGUGCACAGUGUCAAUCUGAAGCGAAUGGCUGAGCGCGCGGGAAGGGAGCAUCAGGUCAGAAAGUUUAACAUGUGGAUGGAGAAGAUCUUCGAUGAGGGUGGGGAACUCGCGAAGACGUUCUUUGAUCAAAUCGCUCCUCAUAUGUGGACUCAGUGCCACGACGGGGGCAGAAGGUAUGGGAACAUGACGACAAACCUCGUCGAAUGUUUCAAUGCCGUCCUUAAGGGCGCUCGUAGCCUCCCAAUCACUGUCCUUGUGCAACUGACAUUUUAUCGCGUUGCACAUUAUUUCAACAGCCGACGGGAGGCUGCUCGUAAUGCAAUAUUAGGAGGAAAUGCAUUAACUCUUCAUAUAUUGCUUGCGAUGGAAAGAAAGAAGUUGAAGGCGACCAGACAUCGCAUGACGACGUUCAAUCGGUCUAGAGGUACUUUUAGCAUCACGACUGCGCAGUUGGGACAUCAUAAAGGAAACAACGUGCAAACGCUGCGCAUUCAGGAUUUGCACGUCUGCUCCUAUGGGAAGUGGCAAGCCUUACACUUUCCAUGUUCCAACCUUCUCGCUGCAUGUGCGGAGACACGACUCAACGCCAUGCAGUACGUUGAGCCUUGUUGGAGCACCGCCGAACAUUAUGCGACAUAUGUGGUGGAUUUUCAGCCGAUUAUGCACGAGGCGUACUGGCCAGCAUUGUCGUUGCCGACUAUACAGGCAAAUCCAGCGUAUGCUCGACAUAAAUGUCGUCCAAGGAGCUCCCGUAUACACAAUGAGAUGGACGCUAGGGAAGGUAGGAAAAGGAGCACGUGCAGUAUAUGUCAUCAAGAAGGGCAUAAUCGCACAAGGUGUCCGAGAAGGACCCACUCGGGCGAUGCAGCGGGACCGUCGCGUUGAUGUCGUAUGCAAUUUUAUACUAUUUCACACCGUUUUUUUUUUUUCUUGUAUAUACCUAUUCUGAUGCAACGAUGCAUUUCUAGGAUUGAUCCCGGGUCGUCCGAUCCGAGCGUAUUGACGAUAGGCGAUCAUCACAGGGCCAGCCGAGCGUGGGCUGAUGGGCAUGCGGAGCCCCUGUGCUGCCGAGGGGGCACGCAGUUUGCCGAGCGUUGGUUAGAGGCAGACCCCUGCAUUGUCCAGCUGAUACGCGAUGCGGGGUUUUAUGGCAUUUAUCGGAUUGCUCAUAUCCAGCUUGUUUGGCAUCUUGUCACAUCAUUGGUGGAGCGAUGGAGACCCGAGACGCACACGUUCCACCUACCUCAUGACGAGGCCACCGUCACAUUACAGGACGUAGCUGUUUUGUUCGGGUUGCCGAUUGAUGGGCGAGCUGUCACUGGUCGCACUGUCGGACCAGUGGAGGGACCUACAGACCGUUAGGGUUGACUCGCCCUGCGUACUAUGUGCGAGCGUUUGUUAGGUGUCGUUCCGCCUAACAGCGAGUUGGUUGGUGCACGCAUCUGUAUGCGGUUCCUUGAGGGGAUGCGUUUUGUGAGCUCCCGGCACAUGCAGAUGUUCAGACGAUAGCAUGCCACGCACGAGCCCAUUUGUUGCGUUUGAUUUGGGGGUGAUCUUCUCGGAUGUUUUCGGCAGUUAUGCGCAUCUGAUGUUCCUUCCACUCAUUCAGGAUUUCGGAGCGUGUCACUCGUACAGUUGGGGGUCCGCCACUUUGGCGUGGUUGUAUAGAGAGAUAUGUCGCGCCGCGCACCACUCGAAGACACAGAUUGCGGGCCCCCUUCGCUUACUCCAGGUUUGGGCUUGGGAGAGAUUUCCUUCAUUCGCGCCUACGCGGCAAGGUUUCCUGCAGAUUGAGAGGGGUCAGGACGGUCGUCCAGUUGAUCCUCUCCCACUCGCAUAUCUGUUAGUACAAAUUUUAUCUAUCCCUUCUCAUUCACUCAAUAACUAUUACGAAUACUAAUUCGUGAUAUGUAGUACUCCUGCAUUUGGGAACUUACGUUUCAUCUUAUACAGAUGGAGGGACGACUUGAGGGCAUCGAUGGUUGCGCUUCACACAUUGCCCUAGUACAGGUUCGAGUUGGACAUGCACCGGGAGCAUGAGUUUAUAUGGAUGCCCUACACGGAUGAGAUUUUAGCCGACAUGCCGCCUGUCUAUGCAGACGGGAGGGACCUGUGGGUAGCGCGAGUGUCACUCAUAUGCUUUCAUAUUAUUGAGUGGUAUCUCCCCGAUCGAGUCAUGCGACAGUUCGGGUUUCGACAGGUCAUUCCCGCCCCAUUUAUGACUUCGGGGGUAGAUAUUGUUGGGGACGAUCUCCACGACAUGGAUGGGCGCGGUCGAGGGGUCACAAACUGGUCGAGUACGCACGCGAUAUUCGUCAUUGCGUGGGAGCAUCGGCGAGACUACAUUGUAGGAGGAGUGGCGGAGCACAGUCCGAUGCGUCUAGAUGACCUAUACUUCACUUGGUAUAGGUCUAUCACUCGCUGCUUCGUCGACAGGACCACAGCUGUAUAUUUGAGCCUCGCUGACAUAGUCAUUGAGGCAAACCAGAUCUCGUCGGAUCUUGCGAUCCACCGAUUGAUGAGUGCUGCACUGGACCUCGUCCACGAGGACGAUCGACGGAUCCCAGAACGAGGAGGUCGACCUGAUGUACCAGCACGAGGAGGUCGACCAGCUCCAGUACGAGGAGGACGACAUGCCUCCUCUAGUCGUCCAGGGACUCCCAUGUCCUCCCCACCAGUCGUACAGGCCGAGUACUUGUUCGGCCCGUCAGCGCCUUAUGCGCCUUCCACUGCAGCUCAUAUUGCCGGACCAUCAAGCAGACCGACUGAUGCCCUAUCCGACUCUGCUGCUACCCCAUCCAUGUCAUUUUUAUUGGACGAUCUUUUCGAUGGGGUGGAGGUCGAUGCACCCCCUAUGUCGCCUCGUUCUCGUCCCGAGACAUCGUAUCAUUUCUCACCGCGUGCGCUCCGCAUGGCUGAUGAUGAUGCAGCACCUCUUGGGGGAGAGGAUUCACAUUCAGCACGACGGGACAGGACACCUGAUGAUGUUGAUGAGCAGAGAGAGGGUAGACGUAGACGGCAGUCACCACGAUCUCGGAGAUGACCUCGCUGCGACACGGAGUAGUUUAGCAUUAUUUUAAAUGCAUUUUAUUUGGAUGGUGCUAGGGAAAUACAGUCACGAUCAUCAAAAAGCAGAAAUUUACCUACUUCUGAGUAUCUGCCCAAUCACAUUAAGAGGAAAACAACUGCUUCCUACAGAGAGCUGGA